GUGCUGAGCCUGGCCUUGGCCCAGAAGCUCUACCCCGAGGGAGAUUGUGGAGCAAGACUUCAACAUGACCAGGGCCGCAGGGUCCUGGUCCUCCAUCUCCUUGGCCUCUGACAACGUGAUGUGGAUCGGAGUCAAUGGGGACCUGCACCUCUUCAUUCGGACCAUCGAGCUGCUACUGAACAGCAGCCUCCUGUUUCAUUUCCGCUUCUGACCGGGGGAAAACAAGGGUGCUCAUCUUGGAGACUGACUACUGGAUGUACAUCAUCUUCUACCUGAGGAGCGUCCGGUUCGCGCAUCGAGACCCAAGUGCUGGCGCUCUACGGGCGCAUCCCAGUGCUCAGCGACCCCUUGCUGGACAGAUUUGAAAAGGCCUACAGGAAGUACGGGAUGGGUCCAAGAAACACCAUCAAUCUGGCCGAGAAAGAUCUCUGCCAGUACUAGUGGAAGAGGGGAGCUGGCCCAGCCUUAGGGUGAGUGGGCUCUGACGGGCGUGGGAUGGGCAUGGUGGGGUGGCGGGGGGGCCCCGGAUGGCGGUGGCUUGGUGUCAGAGGCCAGGGUCUCAGCUCAGAAGGGCCACAGGUGCAUUUCUCCAAGCCCAUCCCUCACCGGACUGCUGGGUUUUCCUGGAACACAGAGAGUGUGGUGGCUGGUGGAGUGCUGAACACUCCCAGGUCGGGUUUCCCGGGGCCUUGUGGGCUGCAGUCGGGGCAGCACAGGAUGUGAGCCGCAGGAGGGCGCUGUGCAGUGAAGACUUACUCUCUCGAAGCUCUGCAGUCUGCCUGUCCAGGACCCAGGUGUUGAGAGGCCGAACCCCCCAGGGCUCCAGGGUCCUCCUGGCUCAUCCAGCUGCUGGUGGCUCCAGGUGGCCCAUGGCUCAGCCUGGCUCACCCGAACCUCUGCCUCUGUGUACACGCGGCCCCAACUUCCUGUGGCUGCUCUUCCACCUCCCUGUAAUGAUGCUGUCUUAGCUCUGGGGCCCAGAAGCGGAGGCCUCUCACCCAGCACCCUGACUCUAGCACAUCUGUAGGAGCCUUUUCCAAAUAAACCUCAUCCUUAGGUCCAG
rnacentral:lncRNA from 1 species